rnacentral:hammerhead_ribozyme from 1 species
AUCCAGAUGACGAGUCCCGAAUAGGACGAAAUGCGUUUUAUCCUGGAU